GAUGAAGAACGCAGCGAAAUGCGAUAAGUAAUGUGAAUUGCAGAAUUCAGUGAAUCAUCGAAUCUUUGAACGCACAUUGCGCCCGCCAGUAUUCUGGCGAGCAUGCCUGUUCGAGCGUCAUUUCAACCAUCAAGCCCCCAGGGGCUUGUGCUGGGGCCCUGCGGCUGCCCGCAGGCCCUGAAAACCAGUGGCGGGCUCGCUAGUCACACCGAGCGCAGUAGCACAUCUCGCUCAGGGCGUGCGGCGGGCUCCUGCCGUGAAACCCCCCACUGUAACCCCAAAGGUUGACCUCGGAUCAGGUAGGAAUACCCGCUGAACUUAAGCAUAUCAAUAAGCGGAGGA
rnacentral:misc_RNA from 1 species